GCACGUCCCCCAUCUUUUCCAAUGGGGCAGUUAACAGUAAGGCGGUUUUGCGGUUGGUGAUUAUUUGCAUAGUAUAGACCACGCAAUUUUCUCAGGCUCCGUGCAGGCUGUUUUCCCUGCUAUCGUGCUUUUUUACCUUUGCAAACUUGGUUGCGGUAUUUUUCGCACGUCCUUUUUCCACACAACUCUCGCACUCCCAAAAUAAUGUGCUUUGCGUGUGCGGGCGGGUACUGAUGUACUCCGACCGUUCCGACUUGCGGCGUUGGUUCGCCGUCCUGCUCGGUGUGGUUAUUUAACACCCUAUUUAAUCGCUCCAAAGCGAACAGGCAAUUUUUUGAUUUUCCCAGCCUCAAAAAAAUGUUUCCAAUAAAAAAGGCUGUUUGUUU
rnacentral:sRNA from 12 species